rnacentral:rRNA from 1 species
UUGCCCUAGUAACGGCGAGUGAAGCGGCAAGAGCUCAGAUUUGAAAUCUGGCGCCUUCGGCGUCCGAGUUGUAAUCUGUAGAGGAUGCUAUUGGGUAGCCACCGGUCUAAGUCCCCUGGAACGGGGCGUCGCAGAGGGUGAGAAUCCCGUAUGUGACCGGAAGGGCGCCCUCCACAUAGCUCCUUCGACGAGUCGAGUUGUUUGGGAAUGCAGCUCUAAAUGGGAGGUAAAUUCCUUCUAAAGCUAAAUACCGGCCAGAGACCGAUAGCGCACAAGUAGAGUGAUCGAAAGAUGAAAAGCACUUUGGAAAGAGAGUUAAAAAGCACGUGAAAUUGUUGAAAGGGAAGCGCUUGCAACCAGACUUGUUGGCGGUGUUCCGCCGGUCUUCUGACCGGUGUACUCACCGUCUGCAGGCCAGCAUCAUCUGGGGCCGCCGGAUAAAAGCGGGGGGAAUGUGGCUCCCUCGGGAGUGUUAUAGCCCCUCGUGCAAUACGGCGUGCCUCGGGUGAGGUCCGCGCUUCGGCUAGGAUGCUGGCGUAAUGGUCGUAAGCGGCCCGUCUUGAAACACGGACCAAGGAGUCUAACAUCUAUGCGAGUGUUCGGGUGUCAAACCCCUACGCGUAAUGAAAGUGAACGGAGGUGGGAGCCUUAGGGUGCACCAUCGACCGAUCCUGAUGUCUUCGGAUGGAUUUGAGUAAGAGCAUAGCUGUUGGGACCCGAAAGAUGGUGAACUAUGCCUGGAUAGGGUGAAGCCAGAGGAAACUCUGGUGGAGGCUCGCAGCGGUUCUGACGUGCAAAUCGAUCGUCAAAUUUGGGUAUAGGGGCGAAAGACUAAU